rnacentral:rRNA from 1 species
GACGAACCGAGCGAACGUUGUUCGGAAUCACUGGGCUUAAAGGGCGCGUAGGCGGGCUGUCAAGUCUGGGGUGAAAUCCCGCGGCUCAACCGUGGAACUGCCUUAGAUACUGACGGCCUCGAGGGAGGUAGGGGCAUGCGGAACUGAUGGUGGAGCGGUGAAAUGCGUUGAUAUCAUCAGGAACUCCGGUGGCGAAGGCGGCGUGCUGGACCUCUUCUGACGCUGAGGCGCGAAAGCUAGGGGAGCAAACGGG